UCACUACAGCAGUUCAUAUUAUAAACUUAGAAAGAUAUAGAAAAGCUAACAAGGCCCCAGUGCAAGGAUGAUACCCAUAUUUUUGAACCAUUCCUUAUUACU